rnacentral:rRNA from 1 species
UACGGGGGGGGCAAGCGUUGUUCGGAAUUACUGGGCGUAAAGGGCUCGUAGGCGGCCAACUAAGUCGGACGUGAAAUCCCUCGGCUCAACCGGGGAACUGCGUCCGAUACUGGAUGGCUUGAGUUCGGGAGAGGGAUGCAGAAUUCCAGGUGUAGCGGUGAAAUGCGUAGAUAUCUGGAGGAAUACCGGUGGCGAAGGCGGCAUCCUGGACCGGCAUUGACGCUGAGGAGCGAAAGCCAGGGGAGCAAACGGG